rnacentral:rRNA from 1 species
CCUACGGGAGGCAGCAGUGGGGAAUAUUGCGCAAUGGGCGAAAGCCUGACGCAGCGACGCCGCGUGAGGGAUGAAGGUCUUCGGAUCGGAAACCUCUGUCAGCAGGGAAGAACGGUCACUGUGCUAAUCAGCAGUGAAUUGACGGUACCUGCAAAGGAAGCACCGGCUAACUCCGUGCCAGCAGCCGCGGUAAUACGGAGGGUGCGAGCGUUCAUCGGCAUUACUGGGCGUAAAGCGCUCGAAGGCGGUAUGUCAAGACAAGGGUGAAAUCCCCGCGCUCAACGUGGGAACGUCCUUUGAAACUGGCAAACUGCAGUGUGUGUGUGGUUAGUGGACUUCCAGGUGUAGGCGU